rnacentral:rRNA from 1 species
CAGCAGCCGCGGGAAAACGGAGGGAGCUAGCGUUGUUCGGAAUUACUGGGCGUAAAGCGCACGUAGGCGGCUUUGUAAGUUAGAGGUGAAAGCCUGGAGCUCAACUCCAGAAUUGCCUUUAAGACUGCAUCGCUUGAAUCCGGGAGAGGUGAGUGGAAUUCCGAGUGUAGAGGUGAAAUUCGUAGAUAUUCGGAAGAACACCAGUGGCGAAGGCGGCUCACUGGACCGGCAUUGACGCUGAGGUGCGAAAGCGUGGGGAGCAAACAGGAUUAGAUACCCCUGUAGUCCCUGUCUCUUAUAC